UACGUAGGGGGGCUAGCGUUGUCCGGAAUCAUUGGGCGUAAAGCGCGUGUAGGCGGCCCGGUAAGUCCGCUGUGAAAGUCGGGGGCUCAACCCUCGAAUGCCGGUGGAUACUGUCGGGCUUGAGUACGGAAGAGGCGAGUGGAAUUCCUGGUGUAGCGGUGAAAUGCGCAGAUAUCAGGAGGAACACCAAUUGCGAAGGCAGCUCGCUGGGACGGUACUGACGCUGAGACGCGAAAGCGUGGGGAGCAAACAGG
rnacentral:rRNA from 1 species